AGCACCCAGCCUCUGAGUUCGCUGUUUGCUCGGGGCAGAUGGAGGUGCCUGAUGGCGGCCCCUGUGGAAGCAAGAUAAGAUGAACUCCUCUUUGCCCGACUGACCUGUGCACUCUCCUCCCCUGACUCGCUUGAGUGACUCAUGCCCUCCCCUCUCCUUGGCCAACUCGAACCCACAUCCUGACCCUAUAAGAAAGAACCUAGCCAUCCCCUUGGGCUGACACCCACACACUGGUAUCAGCCCGGGGUGAGAGAAGGUAAUAAAAUUCCUU